rnacentral:rRNA from 1 species
CAGCCGCCGCGGUAAUACCAGCCCCGCGAGUGGUCGGGACGGUUAUUGGGCCUAAAGCGCCCGUAGCCGGCCCGGCAAGUCCCUCCUUAAAGCCUCGGGCCCAACCCGAGGACGGGGGGGAUACUGCCGGGCUAGGGGGCGGGAGAGGCCGGCGGUACUCCCGGGGGCGGGGCGAAAUCCGUUAAUCCCGGGAGGACCACCAGUGGCGAAGGCGGCCGGCUGGAACGCGCCCGACGGUGAGGGGCGAAAGCCGGGGGAGCGAACCGGAUUAGAUACCCGGGUAGUCCCGGCUGUAAACGAUGCGGGCUAGCUGUUGGGCGGGCUUAGAGCCCGCCCAGUGGCGCAGGGAAGCCGUUAAGUCCGCCGCCUGGGGAGUACGGCCGCAAGGCUGAAACUUAAAGGAAUUGGCGGG